CCCAGGCAGCCAGGAUUACAGGCAUGUGCCACCAUGCCCAACUGUGUACAAAUAAUCUUGAAGAUUAAAAUAUAUUCAUAUUGAUAAUUUCUUCUUAUUCUAAAAUGAACCAGUUUUUUUGCUUAAUUAAACCUACAUUUCCUGGAAAGUUUUCUUAGAAAAUGCUGUAGUUAAGCUGUCCUUCAGUCAUCCUAGAUGAAUAAAAUUUUUGCAGAUAGACCUCAGACAUCCAUGCAGCUUGACGUUUUCAUAGAAGAAACUGAGGUUGAGAAAGGAUUAGAAGACAUGACUGGAUUGUCCUGAAUAAAGACUCCUCAGCCUACCUUGCAGCCUGAUUUGACAUUGUGACUAAUUCUGAGCAAUGGGAUACAAUUAGAAAAGAUAUGUUUGACUUCUAUUUGUCCUUAAUAGGAAAGUGCAAGUCCUUCCAUGCUGGCUGGCAUGCAGAAGAAGUGGCUCGAUUUUGAACAACAUCUUGUACCAUGAAGAGGUUCAGCAAAGCAAGAAGAUGUGUAGAGCCUGGAGAACAACAACUUAUGAAGCUGCCGUAUGAGCUUGGGUUGGUUAGG